rnacentral:rRNA from 1 species
UACGAAGGGGGGCUAGCGUUGCUCGGAAUUACUGGGCGUAAAGGGAGCGUAGGCGGACAUUUAAGUCAGGGGUGAAAUCCCGGGGCUCAACCCCGGAACGGCCUUUGAUACUGGGUGUCUUGAGUUCGGAAGAGGUGAGUGGAAUUGCGAGUGUAGAGGUGAAAUUCGUAGAUAUUCGCAAGAACACCAGUGGCGAAGGCGGCUCACUGGCCCGGUACUGACGCUGAGGUGCGAAAGCGUGGGGAGCAAACAGG